rnacentral:rRNA from 1 species
AGAGUUUGAUCAUGGCUCAGAACGAACGCUGGCGGCAUGGAUUAGGCAUGCAAGUCGAACGGUGCAGCAAUGCAUAGUGGCGCAAGGGUGAGGAACGGCGUGAGUAACCUGCCCUCAAGUUUGGGAACAGCUUCUGGAAACGGAAAUUAAUACCGAAUGUGACCAUAGGAAGGCAUCUUCUGUUGGUUAAGGCCGCAAGGUCGCUUGAGGAGGGGCUCGCGUCCCAGUUAUGCUAGUUGGUGAGGUAACGGCCCACCAAGGCGAAGAUGGGUAGCUGGUCUGAGAGGACGAUCAGCCACACUGGGACUGAGAACUGCCCAGACUCCUACGGGAGGCUGCAGUCGAGAAUUUUGGGCAAUGGACGAAAGUCUGACCCCAAGCAAUGCCGCGUGCGGGAUGAAGGUCUUCGGAUUGUAAACCGCUGUCAAGUGGGACGAAACAAAUGACGGUACCGCUGAAGGAAGUCACGGCUAACUACGUGCCAGCAGCGGC